GCUUACGGCCACACAGGCCUGAGUACGCCUGAUCUCGGUCCGAUCUCGGAAGCUAAGCAGGGUCGGGCCUGGUUAGUACUUGGAUGGGAGACCGCCUUGGGAAUACCAGGUGCUGUAAGCU
rnacentral:rRNA from 1 species